UUUUUUUUUCUUUUUGCACUUACAAAAUGAACAGCAUCAGACAUAACAAUUCUUUUUUCUUUUUGCACUUACGAAAUGAACAGCAUCAAACAGCCGACCGCACUGCUUUCGGACUGAAAACCGCAGUGCAUCAGACGGACAACCGAACUGCAUGGUUUCUUUUGUGAAACAGGAAUUUUUCCAAACGUUUUUUGCAACAUGUUCGAAAAGUACUCCCUCAAAUUUUUUCAACAAAACACAAUGUACUGCACGUGUUGGGUUGACGAACUGCAUUUGUUUUUUCUCCACAAAUUUAACAAUUUUAAAUGCCAGUCGGGCGUGGGGCUGUCGAACUGCAUGGCCAUGGUCCAGUGCACUACAUUGGGGGAGAUAAGUGCAUUGCAUAAAUGAUGCAAAUAAUAAUGAAGAGACGUUUAAUAUAAGUUUCCACAAGCAAACAUGCAUAUAAAAAUAGAGAAAAAGAAAUUAUAUACACACGACACACACAAACAUGACUUCACCAACAUCAACGGUCUCCCAGCCGAAGUGUAUUAGGGGGCAACGCCCUGUUUUCCUCCGGCGAACUUCAUCACCCAGCUAGAGAACCUUCUGCCAACACAAGUAUAAUGCAAGCCUCGCCCAUCCGCACUGCAUAAAGGACGCCAUGGGAAUGCACGUUGUUGCACUGCUUCUGAAAAAAAACCACCAGUGGCAGUUAGAUCCAGGAGAGCCAGAAGUUUUAAUCCAGGUGGGGGCGAUGCGUACUGAAGGUGCCCGUGGGAUGGAUUGCAACAACAGGCGAUAUCUACUGAGGUUGCCCAAAUAAAAUGUGGCAAGGAAGGGGCGUGUUGUCGGCGAUCUGCACAUGGGGGAGGAGAGAGCUGCGGGGGUCGCUCGGAAGAACUGCUUCGGUUGCAGGGGAGCGGUGGGCGGCCAGAGCAGGCGCUGGUGAAGGGGAAGGCAGAGGUUCAGGGGGUAGAGGAGGAGUAGGGGCAUGGCCGGCGGCGCCGCUGGAAGUGGCCGAAGCGUGGUGGCACGUAUGAGGUCGCUGGAGUCUGCCGUCGAUGGCCAUCAACUCGGCGAGGAGACCACGACCCAUUCCCAUCUGCAGGAAAAAUGAUUUAUAAAAAAAAGAAGAAAAAAGGAAAUGCAGCGUCACGCCUGAUGAACUCCAACCCAAGCCUCGGCCGUUGACCUCGCCGUUGAUGGCGGGGAAGGGGCGCAUGGCCUGGGAGGGGGAAGGUAAGGGAGGGGUGGCGUGGUGGCCAUGGACGCCCCGGCCUGCGUCUGGCCAUGGACAGAGAGGAGGACCCCAGGGCAGUGCGAGGGUCAGGGAUUUUGGGCCGUGGUCGGAGAGGAAGAAGCUCGUGCUCGAUGCAGCGGGAUGGGAGGGAGGAGGUGGAGGAACGGGGAGGAGAGAGUCGCCGGCGACCCCCGAGCUCACCCGGGCCCGCUAGGCGCAUCCGUCGUCGGGAAGCCGCGGGAGGACGACCACGGGGAGGAUCCAGCAGCCCCUCGACCCUGUGGUUGGGAGGGACGGCGACGCGCGGAUUCGACGCCGGCCACGCGUGGGAGGAUGGCGAUGGGCCGAUCCGGUGGCUGGUCAGCGCGGGGGCAGUUGGGCCGGGGAGGGGAGN
rnacentral:lncRNA from 1 species